AGUUACAAAGGACGACAUUAGACGAAUCAUCUGGAAAGAUGAAUCAAAGAAGGUAAUAAUCCUGUAGUCGAAAAUGUUGUCUCUCUUGAGUGGAUCCUGAGUACGACGGAGCACGUGAAAUUCCGUCGGAAUCUGGGAGGACCAUCUCCUAAGGCUAAAUACUCUCUAGUGACCGAUAGUGAACCAGUACCGUGAGGGAAAGGUGAAAAGCACCCCGGAAGGGGAGUGAAAUAGAACCUGAAACCGUGUGCUUACAAGUAGUCAGAGCCCGUUAAUGGGUGAUGGCGUGCCUUUUGUAGAAUGAACCGGCGAGUUACGAUUUGAUGCAAGGUUAAGCAGUAAAUGUGGAGCCGUAGCGAAAGCGAGUCUGAAUAGGGCGUUUAGUAUUUGGUCGUAGACCCGAAACCAGGUGAUCUACCCUUGGUCAGGUUGAAGUUCAGGUAACACUGAAUGGAGGACCGAACCGACUUACGUUGAAAAGUGAGCGGAUGAACUGAGGGUAGCGGAGAAAUUCCAAUCGAACCUGGAGAUAGCUGGUUCUCUCCGAAAUAGCUUUAGGGCUAGCCUCAAGUGAUGAUUAUUGGAGGUAGAGCACUGUUUGGACGAGGGGCCCCUCUCGGGUUACCGAAUUCAGACAAACUCCGAAUGCCAAUUAAUUUAACUUGGGAGUCAGAACAUGGGUGAUAAGGUCCGUGUUCGAAAGGGAAACAGCCCAGACCACCAGCUAAGGUCCCAAAAUAUAUGUUAAGUGGAAAAGGAUGUGGCGUUGCCCAGACAACUAGGAUGUUGGCUUAGAAGCAGCCAUCAUUUAAAGAGUGCGUAAUAGCUCACUAGUCGAGUGACACUGCGCCGAAAAUGUACCGGGGCUAAACAUAUUACCGAAGCUGUGGAUUGUCCUUUGGACAAUGGUAGGAGAGCGUUCUAAGGGCGUUGAAGCAUGAUCGUAAGGACAUGUGGAGCGCUUAGAAGUGAGAAUGCCGGUGUGAGUAGCGAAAGACGGGUGAGAAUCCCGUCCACCGAUUGACUAAGGUUUCCAGAGGAAGGCUCGUCCGCUCUGGGUUAGUCGGGUCCUAAGCUGAGGCCGACAGGCGUAGGCGAUGGAUAACAGGUUGAUAUUCCUGUACCACCUAUAAUCGUUUUAAUCGAUGGGGGGACGCAGUAGGAUAGGCGAAGCGUGCGAUUGGAUUGCACGUCUAAGCAGUAAGGCUGAGUAUUAGGCAAAUCCGGUACUCGUUAAGGCUGAGCUGUGAUGGGGAGAAGACAUUGUGUCUUCGAGUCGUUGAUUUCACACUGCCGAGAAAAGCCUCUAGAUAGAAAAUAGGUGCCCGUACCGCAAACCGACACAGGUAGUCAAGAUGAGAAUUCUAAGGUGAGCGAGCGAACUCUCGUUAAGGAACUCGGCAAAAUGACCCCGUAACUUCGGGAGAAGGGGUGCUCUUUAGGGUUAACGCCCAGAAGAGCCGCAGUGAAUAGGCCCAAGCGACUGUUUAUCAAAAACACAGGUCUCUGCUAAACCGUAAGGUGAUGUAUAGGGGCUGACGCCUGCCCGGUGCUGGAAGGUUAAGAGGAGUGGUUAGCUUCUGCGAAGCUACGAAUCGAAGCCCCAGUAAACGGCGGCCGUAACUAUAACGGUCCUAAGGUAGCGAAAUUCCUUGUCGGGUAAGUUCCGACCCGCACGAAAGGCGUAACGAUUUGGGCACUGUCUCAACGAGAGACUCGGUGAAAUCAUAGUACCUGUGAAGAUGCAGGUUACCCGCGACAGGACGGAAAGACCCCGUGGAGCUUUACUGUAGCCUGAUAUUGAAAUUCGGCACAGCUUGUACAGGAUAGGUAGGAGCCUUUGAAACGUGAGCGCUAGCUUACGUGGAGGCGCUGGUGGGAUACUACCCUAGCUGUGUUGGCUUUCUAACCCGCACCACUUA
rnacentral:rRNA from 1 species